GGAAAAUAUUGUGCGUCUAUUAUUUCCUUCUAAAACGAAAGCAACUUUCCGGACGACCUAAUAUUAUGUUACGUUAUCGUGCAACAAGUUCGUGCCACUUGUUCCUCCGUUUGGUACAAGCUUUCCAUUCCGCUGUGAUUCCCAUUCUGUUUAAAUACCAAAGAACAAGUGUUUCAUUUGGGAAUAUCAAAGAUGACAAACAAAAUCUUGCAAAUAUUCAACCAACGAGCCUUAUCUUUCGUCGAACGUAAAACGGGCCACGUCUUGAUCUUCUCCAGCUUCGCUUGAUGACCCCAUUUCCAAUUUCUUUUCGAACAUGUCCCUGUGCAGGCGGAAGAAAUCAGGCGCAAAGCCAUUUUUGCAUAUAAUUGCCAAGUCGGGAAAAAUAAACCACGUACUUGAGACGUGGAAAUGCGGAUAAUAUGCGAAAAAACGAAUCGCCACGGAAGACUCUGGAGACGAGAAAAUUCCUUCGUUCUUGCCUCCGCUUAAUUAGCGGUAUUUCCAUGUUAAAUACUAAUUUGCCGACUGCUACACUCGACGACAAACGACCCUCGUCGUCGCUUGUAUUUAUUUACGCACUGCAUGAGACAUUUCUACAAGUCUUUUAUCUCCCAAAAUUUCUCAGUUAGCUGGACAUUCAACGAUCCUUAUUCAACGAUGAUCCUGUCACUGCCAGGCGAAGGUCAUCGAAAAUAUGAAUUUGCACCAACACCGGUAGCAUAAUCGUUCGCCUGUAGCCGAUCGAAGCUAAUAACAGAGCCGAUGUGCGAUCGAUGACGACGUUAAAUCACGGCAGUGUCCCAUGCGAAUCGAAUUCGAUACGAAGCCUCGCACGGCCGUCCAUCUUGGCGAAGGGAACGGGGACAUAAUCGCGUUUCAUUUGCCGCGUGGGAUCUUAGAAGAGGCACUGGGGCUAUCUAUUUCUGGCGGACUAUCGGUUAUCUUGUAUCGGAGAUAGCCGCGCGGGGAAUGCAUCGCGGCAGUGUGCACGCCAACGAUUUAAGGGCUGCGGAUGUGCAAGGAGCUAUGAAUUAGGUCGCCAAAGCCAUGCGGAACCCGCGUUAAUGUUCCCGGUAACGGCACUCUGGUUAAUUUCCCCCAACGCUCCACGUCCUGCUCGAUCGUCUGCCUAUUUGUCCGUGAUCGGUGCCGGUCAAUGCGAUGUUAAUGGGAUUCUUCAAGGCGACUAUGAAGAGCCUGACAGCUUGGACUACAGCUCGUUGGGAACGUCUUGCGGUUUAGCUCGGGAAAAUUUAGUAAAACGAAGGCGUAAAGUCUCGUUUACGUUGGCGAACGAUCAUGUGGGUCGUUAGGAGGAAGAAAGAAGAAGCUGGUUGAUGUAAGAAACGAGCGUUAGCUGGUUGUUCGGCGAGUUGAAAAAUCGCAGGUAAAAAUCCACGCAAAACUUUGCACGGCCUUCGAUGUAAAAACCUGGGAAUUAACGAGCUGUUGGUUUAACAAAUUGAAACGUUUAGUUAUAGCCACAUUGUGUUUCACGAGGUUCUCAAAUGCGAAAAAGUAGACAAAUUUUGGAGCCACGCGCGUAUGAUAAAGACACUGAAGGGAAGAAUAUAAUUACUAUAAUAUAGAAUAUAAUUAAUAUAUUAUAAUAAAUAUGGGAAAUUGAAGAAGGCUCACGUAACGGGAAUUUACGUCUCCCGUUGACGUGCUUGCUCGCGAUCGCGUCUCUCUGCGAAUGGUCGAUAAAACACGGUUAACCGGUUAAAAGGAAACGAAAGUCGUUGAAAGGCGAAUGACAGCGAAACGAGCAUCGAAACGAAUGGAAAUAAAAACUAGGCCGAGUAAAUGAAUCCUGUCCAACUCGGCCGAUGAUUGUUGACGCGAAUAGAAUCGAUUCGACGAUGGCGAAUACGCGGCGGUGUUAAAUCGACAAACCGGUAUUAGGCUCGCCUCUCCUCUACCGCCAUGUUAACGCGUAAAUAAUUGCAUUAGCGACCCUAUAGCGCGUAAUACGCGAUGAAUGUCGCUGUAUACCCAGAACACACUAACGAUAUUGCUCUCACGUCCGUUCGUCGAUGUAUUUGCUUCGGGACACCGAUGGUGAACAACGAAAUCGACCCGAGUCCGCUGUGUUUCCGCUUUUAACGAGGUUAAUACGAGGCCUCGUGCAGAUCGUUUAGAGUGUCCAUCAUCCACACACGGGAAAAGUUGAUUCUUUCACAGCCGUCGCACGCUUGCAGACACAGCGUGAAUCUCGUGUACAGUAGUCUUGUACAUGGAAUCGAACGGAUGUUAGAUCUGAGAUGGAUAGGUCGUGACAGGAAUCGUGAAAAACAGGACUAUGGGUGCUGGGAUUCGAACCUGGGUCUGGAGCGUUCGUGGCCAAUUACGCUAACCACAGCGCUGCCAUCGUCCGGCUGAGGAUAGGGUCCUUGUGUAGCAACUCAUGGAACAGGAUCCGUUGGAAAGUUUGCUGUCGAGUGCCGCUACAGAUCAAAUGGCAAGAUCGUUUAGAGUGUCCAUCAUCCGCACACGAGAAAAGUUGAUUCUUUCACAGCCGUUGCAGGCUUGCAGACGCAGCGUGAAUCUCGUGUACAGUAGUCUUGUACAUUGAAUCGAACGGAUGCUAGAUCUGAGAUGGAUAGGUCGUGACAGGAAUCGUGAAAAACAGGACUAUGGGUGCUGGGAUUCGAACCUGGGUCUGGAGCGUUCGUGGCCAAUUACGCUAACCACAGCGCUGCCAUCGUCCGGCUGAGGAUAGGGUCCUUGUGUAGCAACUCAUGGAACAGGAUCCGUUGGAAAGUUUGCUGUCGAGUGCCGCUACAGAUCAAAUGGCAAGAUCGUUUAGAGUGUCCAUCAUCCGCACACGGGAAAAGUUGAUUCUUUCACAGCCGUUGCAGGCUUGCAGACGCAGCGUGAAUCUCGUGUACAGUAGUCUUGUACAUUGAAUCGAACGGAUGCUAGAUCUGAGGUGGAUAGGUCGUGACAGGAAUCGUGAAAAAUAGGACUAUGGGUGCUGGGAUUCGAACCUGGGUCUGGAGAGUUCGUGGCCAAUUACGCUAACCACGGCGCUGCCAUCGCCCGGCUGAGGAUAGCGUCCUUGUGUAGCAACUCAUGGAACAGGAUCCGUUGGAAAGUUUGCUGUCGAGUGCCGCUACAGAUCAAAUGGCAAGAUCGUUUAGAGUGUCCAUCAUCCGCACACGAGAAAAGUUGAUUCUUUCACAGCCGUUGCAGGCUUGCAGACGCAGCGUGAAUCUCGUGUACAGUAGUCUUGUACAUUGAAUCGAACGGAUGCUAGAUCUGAGGUGGAUAGGUCGUGACAGGAAUCGUGAAAAAUAGGACUAUGGUUGCCAGGAUUCGAACCUGGGUCUGGAGCGUUCGUAGCCAAUUACGCUAACCACGGCGCUGUCAUCGUCCGGCUGAGGAUAGGGUCCUUGUGUGGCAAGUCACGGAACAGGACACACACGUGGGCAAUUCUAAUCUUCCGAUGUUUCGUACAUUAGAAGCUGAGUGUAAAUGAAGCUCGCAGGAAGAACGUGGCGAGUACGUCGACUAUUUUAUCUUCCUGUCGAUCUACGGUAUAUUUUUAUAUAAAUUGUAUAAAUUCAUGACGUAUGAAUUUAUGGCAUUGGAUAUGUAGCAGACAUGUUUAAAUCACAAAUUGAGCUGCGAAGAGGAAGGUGCACAAGUACAAGGAACAAGUAGCAGUGGUCAAUGUACGAUCAGACGUGUGCGUGGAACGAGGCUGCUGAAAAUCCAAAAUAUUACCACGUUUCUCAACAUAUUUGGCGAAUUUGUCUUCGCAAACUAUUAUUAAAAACGUAUCUUGUUAACAAUUUGAAGACGUUUAUGCAAAUUCGCAUUGUUAUUAACGCGACUGAGGACCCAGAACCGAGACAGACGUUGUUUCACCCUGCAAAUAUCUUACACUGAAUAUCUUCUACAUCCGUGAAAUUUUUCCGACACAUUUACGUUUCUUACAAGUGUAAUGAGAUUCGAUGGGAGUAACUUGAUGCGAGCAAAGGGCACAAAGAACAGAAUCUUCCCGCUAAAAGAAAAUUUAUUGCGACCAGGUGUCCUCAUACGUUUGAUUAAAAAUAGCAAUCCUUCUUUGACAGGGGACGACUGGGAAGAAAUUGACACACGGUUUUAAUAACAGAUUCAACUCUAUUCGCGUUAUUUUCCUUUCAUCGAGGAUACAUUAAUAUCCGAUAUCGAGUCCUGGCAAUAGCAUCGUGUUUAAUAUUAAAAUAGACGACGGGACAAACGCGGCCGCUUCAAACAACAUUAUACGAGCAGAAUGAAUACGCGACCUUUCGUCGUGCGCUCGUUCGAUAAAAUGCACUGCGGUGUCGAUAAAGUGGCCGCGAAAUCGCGCAGCUAUUUACAAUAAAGUUUAAUGAACCGACUCGACGACAAUGACUAUCGACGUGUUUUCAAUUGCCAGGAGAAACGAAGCUGCACGGGCAAACGGCGUGACAGCUAUUGGAAAACAUUUCCAAGCUCGCGAAGAAACGCCGCGAGACUAAUAUCUAUCGUCGCGUGGCUGCUCACAUUCCUUUCCGUGUUCACGCUCCAAUGAGAAAGAAUUCAACGAGGUUCACGAAAUUCUAGAGGCGGAUCGAUGAUGAAAGACAGAGAGCCGGCCAACGUCGAUGCCGGGCAUUAAUAUUUCAUGAAGUUUGCCCGACUCAGACUUGCAACCUCCAUAAAUUUGCAAAUUCGAAAAUAGAAAACCGUCUUUUAUCUAUGGCUUUGAAUUCUCGAAACAGUAAAUCGCAGAGAAGCGGAAGACAGAUCUGGGCAGCGAGAAUUUGUACGGUUGACGAACGAUCGAGAAUGGAGCGAGCGUUUCUGAGAGGUCUGAGAGAUCUGAGACGUUGAAAAGUUACUCCGAGACUUGCCUUUAAAAGAAAUUUAACCCUUUCAGCGCUGCGUUGUCCGACUGUUCACUUUUUACGAACAACCACACCGUGAGCUAUGUAUUUUUUACGAAAGACAUUGUAGUCUGCUACAUAUUUUGGUUUUCGCUUUGGUUUGUCAGUUUGAUAAUUAGUUUUCUUUCGUUUCAACGAAAUCGUCAGAAUGUGAGGUGGAUAACAUCCGUACGUCCUUUUUAUCACACCACUUUUAGCCUAAAUUGAAUUCUUCUGUGAGAAUGCAUUAUCGCGUUCAUAGCGUUCAAAGGGUUAAAGGUACAAAAAUGCAUACAAUGCAGGUGACACGCAUAAUGUGUGCGAAGAAUCCAAAGUAGAGUACUCGUGAGUGAAAUCUCUAUUUAAGACUAGAACUACAAGCUAUUUGUACAAAACCAGUGAAAAUGACUGGUCUUUAAAAAAUACGUAAUAAUAGAAUAUUUGUAUAUUUAUUGAUUUAUUAUUUUCUCACAGAAGCAAUUCCAUGUUAUAUAGUACAUUUUUGCUAUUAUUAAUCCAUCUGCGACCAUGAUCGACCUAAACGAGGGUUGGCACAUUUAUAAAAUUGUAGAACAAGUCGUUUUGACUGCUGUGGCAUUUCUAGCGUCAGCAUUUAGCGAUCCAGCGAUCGAUCCGCAAUUUUCCUGAUAACUGAUGGUUCGAUGAACAAAUUGCAGGACCCUUCUAUCAUACACUUCGACAAGUACCAGUCAUUUUCACUGGUAUUGGUAUAAGUAGCCUCGAUACAAAAUUAUUUUCAGUUUGAAUGCGUAAAAAACAAAAUAAAAUUCGUUAUAUUAUUAUUUUAGUUACCGUUGCGAAAGUCAUUACGUCAUUGCGGAAAGAAAUAUAACACGAAGUAGGAAUUUGGAAAUAAAAUUGUAAAACCAGUCGAUUUGACCGGUGUGGUAUAGUUGAGCGCAUACUAAAAACACGUGAAUUCGCAUAAAUAUCCCAUAAGAGGCCUAUGUAAUUAUUAUCAUUGAUAAUCUUCUGAUUAAAUACGCGAUGAAAGAUAAAGAAUUUCGUAGGAAUUCGAAAACUGUUCUUUCUUUAUCUCCACGAAUCUCUGCGUUUCUGGCGUCGGCUACAAAAUACAUGUACUUGAUGAACGAUUGCUAAGGAACAAAUAUCAAUAAUUACGUUACGUGUGAUCGGAAAUUCUCUAAGCACUCGCAGUUUAAUUAUAAAUACUCGAGGAAAGUGUUUUUCGAAAAUAACGUUAUCCGUUCGCUGGCUUCGUAACACCAGACUGCAAUAUCAAUUUCAAUUUAAAGAGGACCGUGGUCGUGUUUCUGAGCGAUUUUUACAACGACGAACGAAAAUCCAUAAACUGGCGCGAAAAAAAGGUAGAAGACACGCAGCAAAUACGGAGAGAGCAGGCGGUUUGUUUGCGAAUGCAGAAGUACGCCAGCGUGCAAGUAUAUUCCCAAAACUUGUUAAGCUCUCUGCCUUCCUGGAGAAUCAUUAUUAAAAGGGCUGGAUGCGCGCAAGCAGAAGCUUAUUAUUCGCUUCGGCGUUGAAUAAAACAUGGAGGAAACGGGAGCGCGUGUGACGAGCGAUUUAAAAUAUUCAAUUGAAUGCACGCUAGAAGCGGCAGGCUCUUUCCCUGUGGAAGCUUCGUCGAUUUUGAUCCACGGCAAAGUAGUAAAUUACACGUGCGACACGAAAUUACCGGAAAAGGUAAGUGGCUUACAGGUAUACUUUAGUCAAUUUACAGUAACAGCACACGAAUGUUAGCAAACUGUAUAAAUUAAUGAGUGAACUAAUGACCAGAAGCGAUACAUAUCGUCUGCUUAUAGAAACAACACGUAAUAGAAUUUUAUUGUUGCAAUAGGCAGCAUCGCGACGAUGCCCGAGACGCAAGGGGCGUUCACAAUAGCGACACGAUACCGAAAUUUCGCCGAGAUCAUCGUACAAAAUUAAAUCAAAAGAGAGUCAUUUUUUCGUUUAAGGCUGAGCCUUUCGUCCAAGUUUCCACUAAUAUCAAGUAAUUAUUUCUUAAACUAGUGGCGGCGUUAAUUUCGAAGAAGCUUUCUUGUUUGAUGUGUAUUUUAAAGUCUGAGGACGAAUAACUUUUGCGCGAACGUUUCGUUGAAAAAUUUUGUCGAAUUAUUAUGCUACAAUCAGUCUCGUUGUAAAAGAUGAAAUUAUUGUAUUUUAUACUCGUCAAUAUUUGUUAAUCUGAAUGAGAUUAUUUUAUUUCGUAUCCAUUAAUUAUUUGAAACCAAUUUUACCACGUGAUAGUUAUAAGUUAAUAAUAGAAAAUGCACAGGU